rnacentral:rRNA from 1 species
UACGGAGGGUGCAAGCGUUAUCCGGAUUCACUGGGUUUAAAGGGUGCGUAGGCGGGCAGGUAAGUCCGUGGUGAAAUCUCUGAGCUUAACUCAGAAACUGCCGUGGAUACUAUUUGCCUUGAAUAUUGUGGAGGUGAGCGGAAUAUGUCAUGUAGCGGUGAAAUGCUUAGAUAUGACAUAGAACACCAAUUGCGAAGGCAGCUCACUACACGAUCAUUGACGCUGAGGCACGAAAGCGUGGGGAUCAAACAGG